CGGGCAGUAGCGCAGAUGGUAGCGCGCUUGGUUCGGGACCAAGAGGUCGCCGGUUCGACUCCGGCCUGCCCGA
rnacentral:tRNA from 1 species